UGGGGAAUUUUGGACAAUGGGGGAAACCCUGAUCCAACCAUCCCGCGUGUGCGAUGAAGGCCUUCGGGUUGUAAAGCACUUUUGGCAGGAAAGAAACGUCAUGGGUUAAUACCCCGUGAAACUGACGGUACCUGCAGAAUAAGCACCGGCUAACUACGUGCCAGCAGCCGCGGUAAUACGUAGGGUGCAAGCGUUAAUCGGAAUUACUGGGCCUAAAGCGUGCGCAGGCGGUUCGGAAAGAAAGAUGUGAAAUCCCAGAGCUCAACUUUGGAACUCCAUUUUUAACUACCGGGCUAGAGUGUGUCAGAGGGAGGUGGAAUUCCGCGUGUAGCAGUGAAAUGCGUAGAUAUGCGGAGGAACACCGAUGGCGAAGGCAGCCUCCUGGGAUAACACUGACGCUCAUGCACGAAAGCGUGGGGAGCAAACAGG
rnacentral:rRNA from 1 species